rnacentral:rRNA from 1 species
GUGCCAGCAGCCGCGGUAAUACGAGAGGGGCAAGCGUUAUUCGGAAUGAUUGGGCGUAAAGAGCACGUAGGCGGUUUAUAGAAUCCUCAAUAACAAUCUCAAAGCUCUACUUUGAAUAAGAUUGAAGGAAGCAUAAACUAGAGUAAGUAAGAGGAGAAUGGAAUUCCUGGAGUAGAGGUAAAAUUUGUUGAUCUCAGGAGGAACACCGAAAGCGAAGGCAAUUCUCUGCUGCUUUACUGACGUUGAGGUGCGAAAGCGUGGGGAUCAAAGGGGAUUAGAUACCCCCGUAGUCCACGCCGUCAACGAUGACUAUUCCCUAUUUGUUUUUUCUAGCAAAAUGCGAGUGGGUUAGCUAACGCGUUAAAUAGUCCGCCUGAGGAGUACGGUCGCAAGACUAAAACUCAAAGGAAUAGACGGGGGCUCACACAAGUGGUGGAACAUGUGGUUUAAUUCGAAACAACGCGCAAAACCUUACCAGUCCUUGACAUUAUAAUUUUUCCUACUAUAUUAAUAUAGUAUUAUUUUUGUUGCUUGUCUUAAAAUUUUUAAGACAAGCAACAAAAUUUUGGUUAAUUAUAACAGGUGUUGCAUGGCUGUCGUCAGCUCGUGUGGUGACAUGUUGGAUUAAUUUCCUUAACGAGCGAAACCCCUACCCUAUCUCUACUAAUUAAAACCUAGGUUUUAAAGCACUGAUGUUGGGUACUGCCGGUAAUAAACUGGAGGAAGGUGGGGAUCACGUCAAGUCUUCAUGACCCUUAUGGACUGGGCUACACACGUGUUACAAUGAUGAGUACAAAGAGAUGCUAUCAAGAAAUUCGGCGCAAAACUCAAAAAACUCAUCUAUGUUCAGAUUGAUCUCUGCAAUUCGAGAUCAUGAAGGUGGAAUCACUAGUAAUCGUGAAUCAGCACGUCACGGUGAAUUUGUACCUGAGCCUUGUACUCACCGCCCGUCACUGGACUUGAAUUCUUCAAGCUGCAAAUGUUCUUGUAUGUCAGUAUGUGUAGAUCUAUUGAAUAGAUCGACAAUUUCCCACGUAUUUAUAGGACAAAAUAUCAAGGUAGGAGGAGUGAAAGUUUAGAAGUCGUAACAAGGUAGCCGUAGGGGAACCUGCGGCUG